rnacentral:piRNA from 1 species
UCCCCGCCAGAAGGACGGAAGCACCGAG